rnacentral:rRNA from 1 species
CUAAGUUUGAUGGCGACCGGCGCACGGGUGAGUAACACGUAUCCAACCUGCCGAUGACUCGGGGAUAGCCUUUCGAAAGAAAGAUUAAUACCCGAUGGCAUAGUUCUUCCGCAUGGUGGAACUAUUAAAGAAUUUCGGUCAUCGAUGGGGAUGCGUUCCAUUAGGUUGUUGGCGGGGUAACGGCCCACCAAGCCUUCGAUGGAUAGGGGUUCUGAGAGGAAGGUCCCCCACACUGGAACUGAGACACGGUCCAGACUCCUACGGGAGGCAGCAUG